UACGAAGGGGGCUAGCGUUGCUCGGAAUCACUGGGCGUAAAGCGCACGUAGGCGGAUCUUUAAGUCAGGGGUGAAAUCCUGGAGCUCAACUCCAGAACUGCCUUUGAUACUGGGGAUCUCGAGUCCGGGAGAGGUGAGUGGGAACUCCGAGUGUAGAGGUGAAAAUUCGUAGAUAUUCGGAAGAACACCAGUGGCGAAGGCGGCCUCACUGGCCCGGUACUGACGCUGACGGUGCGAAAGCGUGGGGAGCAAACAGGGAUUAAGAAACCC
rnacentral:rRNA from 1 species